AUUUCCUGGCAAUGGGCAAAGACAUAGCUUGUAGUUGGUGGUGUUCUUAUAUCACACAGGGUCAGAGCAGAAGGCAGUCCUUUGUUCAUCCUACCUUGAUGCCUGAAUUGGUGACCAAAGCUACCUUAUGCCUUGGACUCAUAA
ensembl:snoRNA LOC120101267 small nucleolar RNA SNORA48